rnacentral:rRNA from 1 species
CCUACGGGUGGCUGCAGUGAGGAAUAUUGGUCAAUGGACGAGAGUCUGACCCAGCCAAGUAGCGUGAAGGAUGACUGCCCUAUGGGUUGUAAACUUCUUUUAUAUGGGAAUAAAAUGUUCCACGUGUGGGAUUUUGUAUGUACCAUAUUAAUAAGGAUCGGCUAACUCCGUGCCAGCAGCCGCGGUCAUACGGAGGAUCCGAGCGUUAUCCGGAUUUAUUGGGUUUAAAUGGAGCGUAGGUGGAUUGGUAAGUCAGUUGUGAAAGUUUGCGGCUCAACCGUAAAAUUGCAGUUGAAACUGGCAGUCGUGAGUACAGGAGAGGUGGGUGGAAGUCGUGGUGUAGCGGUGAAAUGCUUAGAUAUCACGAAGAACUCCGAUUGCGAAGGCAGUUCACUGGACUGCAACUGACACUGAGGCUCGAAAGUGUGGGUAUCAAACAGGAUUAGAUACCCGUGUAGUC